rnacentral:rRNA from 1 species
ACUGAAUAGAUACCCGGGUAGUCCACGCCGUAAACGAUGGAUGCUAGCUGUAAGGAGUAUCGACCCUUCUUGUAGCGAAAGCUAACGCGUUAAGCAUCCCGCCUGGGGAGUACGGUCGCAAGAUUAAAACUCAAAGGAAUUGACGGGGACCCGCACAAGCGGUGGAGCGUGUUCUUUAAAUUCGAUGAUAAGCGAAGAACCUUACCAGGGCUUGACAUCCUUGGAAGUCCGUCGAAAGACGGAUGUGCCUUUUGGAACCAAGUGACAGGUGUUGCAUGGCCGUCGUCAGCUCGUGUCGUGAGAUGUUUGGUUAAGUCCAUUAACGAGCGCAACCCUUAUGAAUAGUUGGAUUUUUCUAUUUAGACUGCCUCGGUAACGGGGAGGAAGGAGGGGAUGAUGUCAGGUCAUUAUUACCCUUACGUCCUGGGCUAGAAACGCGCUACAAUGGCCGGUACAG